rnacentral:rRNA from 1 species
GACGAACGCUGGCGGCGUGCUUAACACAUGCAAGUCGAACGGAAAGGCCCUGCUCUUGUGGGGUGCUCGAGUGGCGAACGGGGGAGUAACACGUGAGUAACCUGCCCUUGACUGUGGGAUAACUUCAGGAAACUGGGGCUAAUACCGGAUAGGAGCUCCUGCUGCAUGGUGGGGGUUGGAAAGUUUCGGCGGUUGGGUCUGGUCUCGCGGCUUAUCAGCUUGUUGGUGGGGUAGUGGUUUACCAAGGCUUUGACGGGUAGCCGGCCUGAGAGGGUGACCGGGGUCAUUGGUACUGCGAUACGGCGCAGACUGGUACGGGAGGCAGAAGGGGAGAACAUUGCGCAAUGGGCGGAAGCGUGAUGCAGCAACGCUGCGUGCGGGAUGCCGUCUUUCUGGGGGUAAACCGCUGUGGCCUGUGCCGAAGCGUGAGUGACGGUAAUGGGUAAAGAAGCACCGGCUAACUACGUG